AAAUCAACAUCGUUCCUUCUUCCGUUAACACUUGCAAGGAAUUGGCUUCUGAGGCCAAGACACCAGGGGAUGACAGGAUACGCUGCAGGUCCUGCAAAGCGGUCUAGUCAAGCCAGCCGCCCGUGGAGCGGUCCGGAUAGGUUGUAGGCCCUGUGAGGCGGUCCAGUCGUGCUGAAGGCUUGCAGAGCGAUCCAAAUAUGUUGUAGGCUGCACGAGGCAGUAUAGUCAGGUACUUCCAAGGAUCGUGGGAAUGCGAAUGAGUGAUCAUACACAACUUCCAGUUUUUAUGUCUUCGAGUCUUGGGAAAACUCUAAUUUAAAUUAAUGCUUUUGAAACAAUGACUUUUUGUAAACAAUAUUGAUUUAUGGUUGGUUUAAAAAAAAUUUAUUAUGACUUUUGGGAGUGUUAUACCUUUUCAGAUUAUACAUAUUAAGGUUCAUAAUAAAUUGAUUAUAUGAAUUGAGCAACAAGUUGGUAACUAUCUAUGUAGCUAACAGUUUUCAUAAUCGGGAAACCCAAUUACUUCGACUAAUGAAUGUGCAUUAAUCUUAACGAUGUGUAAAUUGUACUUUCAUCUUCUUGUAUCUUGCAAUCCAUGAGAGAUCUCACUAAGUCAAACCGCUUUUUUCUAGAUUGUACUUGGAACAUUUUCUUAAACCGUAUAGUGAUAACAUACACCUUAAGAUUCUUGAAACUCUCUUGGAGUUCGGACGCAUGGUUGCCAACAUGCAACAUGAACCUCUUUUGACUUAGGGACACAGUUAAUGUAUUCUUUUAGUUGAGCU